CAGCGCUGGGGCCGGUGGUUAAUCGGAUUCCCAUUGCGCUGGGCGCGAUGCAGCCGCAGCGUGUGACCCUCUGGGGGUGCGGCGUGGCUGUGGAGCCCUGUGGGAACCAGGGCGAGAAAGGCUCUGCCAGAAAUAGGGAGAUUUUUCAGGGUUCAGUAGUCAAGGUCUCUUCCAGCAGGCCACUGUGCCUUGGGAGCUCGCGUCCCACCUGUGAUCUGUGCCCCCCCCUCCCAGCAGGGCAGCCUAUGGAGCUGGUGGUGUUAACCCUUGGUGGUCUGGGUCAUUGGAAAUUAACAUAGAGGGGCAGAAAACCGGUUGGAUGCAGCCUGGAUGAGCACUUGCUGUUCUGUUGUGUCUGUGGCAUGCAGGUGGUGCAUUCUUGUGCUUCAGACAGGCAGAACUGGGUGCUACGUGGGAGCACCCUGACAGAUGGCACUGCUAUCCCCUCUCUGUCACUGGAAGUAAGAGGGAAUACAGUGGUUACGUGGCUUCUUCCCAGCUGACAGCACAAUGGGGAGUACUGGGUUUUUGUCCCAUCCCACAUGGUUGGAUGUGGACUGUUGCAUGCUGAGUGGAUUGGAGCAGAUAGCUGAGAGUGAGCAGUGCACGGAUAGGUUUUGGUGGGGACCGUGGCCCCAGAGAUCCCUAUUAUAUUCCCCAGAAGAGCCAAAGCACCUGGAGCAAACACUGUGGCACUGCUCCCUGAAGAACUGGGUCUGCAGGGCUGGUGGAUGCCUAUGAAAGGGGAGUGGGAAGAGAAGAAGCUGUGUUCCAAGGCUGAGGUGAGGACACCCAGACUCUAAGGCUGCUAUGCAUGGGAAAAGGACAGGAGGUGUCUCUGGGAGGUUAUUCCCCACUGUUGGGGCAUUUUGUAGCUGGUGGGCCACGCUGCUGGUGCUCAUGCAAGGGAAACCCUGGGAAAGACCCCUGGGACUGGCUCGUGGGAACGGGCUGGCGCAGACCCCCUGUGGGGCCACUUCCCAAUGCCAGUGCCAAUUCCGACAGCUCUUCCCAGCACCCUGCUGUGCCCCCGCUCCGCUCCCGUGCAGCCUGCAGCCUCCUGCCAGCCUGGGGCUCCCGGCCCAUGGUUGCAGCACGGGGAAAGGAGGAUGGCAAACUUCACACCAAUGUGUCAGGCCGACUCCCAGCACACCUCCCUCUCCUCCUGCCUUGGAUCUUGUUGUGAACACAUCAGUGGCAGUAAAGAGGUUAAUGGGAGUGGGAGGAGGGAGAGGGGGGAGAUUGAAGCUGUUCCCAUGAACCGGCUCCAAGGCUUUUGCAGAAGUGGAGCAUCUGGCCAUGGGGCUCAUUUGCCCUGGAGCAGAUGGUCCUGUCCUCUGUCCCAGGCAUGGGCGAUGGGCUGUGGCUGAUGCUGAGCCCAAAGAGCCUUUUGUCACUUGGAGAUUUCGCAGAAGGCAGUGCUGAGCCCCAUGGAGGAGGGGAGAGGAGCUGGGAAGAGAUCCCAGGGAGAGCUCAGCAGUUCUCAGCCUAAAUAUGCUCUUGUAGGUGUUUUUUUUCAAGUCUCCUAAGCUCAGUGCUGACCUCUUAACCCACAGCCCCAGUGCUGGGCUUACAAGGUCCAAGUAUGCCUUGAAGGCUGCUUUGGGAUUGCCUUUUACAUAGCAGGGAAAUAUACCCCAAAAACAGAUGCUGUGCUAACCACACAGAGCAAUGCAUUGGGUGGAGAGCAUCCUAGCCAAGGGUGCCACAAAAGGAAGAUUUAUGAUGUGAUGGUUUAGUGCUGUGAGCAGAGCUGAGCUUAGUUGGCUCCUGGAUUUCCCAGGAGCUGCCUGGGAGAUUCCCAUGCCAGGGGUUGCUGGGCAAGGCUGGAGCACCAUCCUGGAGCAGGACCUCAGCAUCACACUCCACUUUGUUUUCUCU
ensembl:lncRNA